ACUCAAAGGAAUAGACGGGGGCCCGCACAAGCGGAGGAACAUGUGGUUUAAUUCGAUGAUACGCGAGGAACCUUACCCGGGCUUGAAAGUUAGCGACGGACUGUGAAAGCGGUCUUCCCUUCGGGGCGCGAAACUAGGUGCUGCAUGGUUGUCGUCAGCUCGUGCCGUGAGGUGUCGGGUUAAGUCCCAUAACGAGCGCAACCCUUACCGUUAGUUGCCAUCAGGUAAAGCUGGGCACUCUAGCGGGACUGCCGGUGUAAGCCGAGAGGAAGGUGGGGAUGACGUCAAAUCAGCACGGCCCUUACGUCCGGGGCGACACACGUGUUACAAUGGGAGGAACAGAGGGUAGCUACUUAGCGAUAAGAUGCCAAUCUCGAAACCCUUUCUCAGUUCGGAUCGGAGGCUGAAACUCGCCUCCGUGAAGUUGGAUUCGCUAGUAAUCGCACAUCAGCCAUGGUGCGGUGAAUACGUUCCCGGGCCUUGUACACACCGCCCGU
rnacentral:rRNA from 1 species